UACGUAGGGGGCAAGCGUUGUCCGGAUUUAUUGGGCGUAAAGCGCGCGCAGGCGGCGGUGUUGGCCCGGCGUGAAAGCCCCCGGCUCAACCGGGGAGAGUCGUCGGGGACCGCACCGCUUGAGGGCGGUAGGGGCUGGUGGAAUGCCUGGUGUAGUGGUGAAAUGCGUAGAGAUCAGGCAGAACACCUGGGGCGAAGGCGGCCAGCUGGGCCGUCCCUGACGCUGAGGCGCGAAGGCGUGGGGAGCGAACGGG
rnacentral:rRNA from 1 species